AACGAACGCUGGCGGCAUGCCUAACACAUGCAAGUCGAACGAGACCUUCGGGUCUAGUGGCGCACGGGUGCGUAACGCGUGGGAACCUGCCCUUAGGUUCGGAAUAACUCCCCGAAAGGGGUGCUAAUACCGGAUAAUGUCUUCGGACCAAAGAUUUAUCGCCUUUGGAUGGGCCCGCGUUGGGUUAGCUAGUUGGUAGGGUAAAAGCCUACCAAGGCGACGAUCCAUAGCUGGUCUGAGAGGAUGAUCAGCCACACUGGGACUGAGACACGGCCCAGACUCCUACGGGAGGCAGCAGUGGGGAAUAUUGGACAAUGGGCGAAAGCCUGAUCCAGCAAUGCCGCGUGAGUGAUGAAGGCCUUAGGGUUGUAAAGCUCUUUUACCCGGGAUGAUAAGGACAGUACCGGGAGAAUAAGCUCCGGCUAACUCCGU
rnacentral:rRNA from 1 species